AUUGAACGCUGGCGGCAGGCCUAACACAUGCAAGUCGAGCGGAUGAAGGGAGCUUGCUCCUGGAUUCAGCGGCGGACGGGUGAGUAAUGCCUAGGAAUCUGCCUGGUAGUGGGGGAUAACGUCCGGAAACGGGCGCUAAUACCGCAUACGUCCUGAGGGAGAAAGUGGGGGAUCUUCGGACCUCACGCUAUCAGAUGAGCCUAGGUCGGAUUAGCUAGUUGGUGGGGUAAAGGCCUACCAAGGCGACGAUCCGUAACUGGUCUGAGAGGAUGAUCAGUCACACUGGAACUGAGGCACGGUCCAGACUCCUACGGGAGGCAGCAGUGGGGAAUAUUGGACAAUGGGCGAAAGCCUGAUCCAGCCAUGCCGCGUGUGUGAAAAAGGUCUUCGGAUUGUAAAGCACUUUAAGUUGGGAGGAAGGGCAGUAAGUUAAUACCUUGCUGUUUUGACGUUACCAACAGAAUAAGCACCGGCUAACUUCGUG
rnacentral:rRNA from 1 species